rnacentral:rRNA from 1 species
AUUGAACGCUGGCGGCAUGCCUUACACAUGCAAGUCGAACGGUAACAGGUCUUCGGAUGCUGACGAGUGGCGAACGGGUGAGUAAUACAUCGGAACGUGCCUAGUAGUGGGGGAUAACUACUCGAAAGAGUGGCUAAUACCGCAUGAGAUCUACGGAUGAAAGAAGGGGAUCGCAAGACCUUGUGCUACUAGAGCGGCCGAUGGCAGAUUAGGUAGUUGGUGGGAUAAAAGCUUACCAAGCCGACGAUCUGUAGCUGGUCUGAGAGGACGAUCAGCCACACUGGGACUGAGACACGGCCCAGAAUCCUACGGGAGGCAGCAGUGGGGAAUUUUGGACAAUGGGCGAAAGACUGAUCCAGCAAUGCCGCGCGCAGGAUGAAGGCCUUCGGGUUGUAAACUGCUUUUGUACGGAACGAAAAGCCCCGGGUUAAUACCCUGGGGUCAUGACGGUACCGUAAGAAUAAGCACCGGCUAACUACGUGCCAGCCGCCGCAGUAA